rnacentral:lncRNA from 1 species
ACAAACUUGACCUUACUUAAAGAAGAAUUUUGAACUGUUGAUAGUUUAAAUAUUCAUUUCGCUAUAAAUAAUUUUUUGUUUCUUAUCGUGACUCUUUAAUCAUGUAAAACGUAACUACUCAUUUGGGUUUAAACAUUUAGCAUUUAGGGAUGUAUUAUUACAAUAGCUUUUGCUGGAGAUUUGAAUUUAUGAAUGUAUAUGAAAAUUUUUGGAUGGAC